rnacentral:lncRNA from 1 species
ACCAGGCCCCGGGGCCGCGACGCGUCUCUCCAGCCCGGGAUCCGGGGAGCUGGGCUGUCCCCAGACCGACGGGACAGAGGCAUCUCCUCCACCUGAAAAGGAAAGAGGACCAGUUUGCAGGACUCCGAACUGGGCCCGCGAGAUCUCCACCUGCGCAAAACGAAAGGGCGGAUUCUCCUUGGACUCACGAGGCAACCGCUCCCCGGGGUGAGAACGGGGGACUCAUUCCUCCUGCACUGGGAGAAGACGAUUCUUUAGGAGGAGGACAGGGAAGCGAAUGCUACCCAGAUGUCUCAGUAUACUGGCUUGCGGCACAUCAGGCAAAUGAACCUAUCAGAUAACAACGGCAGAUCAGAUGCCUGAGCAUUCAGAAGCAACAGCUGUGGAGCCCCCGUGGGUUCAGAAGGCCUGGUUCCCGUCUCCAGAAGCCUGGCUCUCCUCCCUCCUGGGCCCACUACUUUGGCUUCUUGUUCCUACGUACAAGGAGUUGCCAAGAAGGCAACUCUUCCCCUGCCUGAAGCCAAAGGAAUGAAACAGACUAGGGCGGGAGAGGCGGCCAUCCACCGUCAUUAGUUGCGGCCAUCAGUAACAGCAACAGGACACGGAACCUAAGGCUGUAUCCAUCCUGGGCCUCCAGGGAAACGUCAGCGGGAGCGGUACUAAGGAAGUGCUCAUCUCUUAGAGACAAAGGCCCAUGGAGGGGAACAGUAACCAUCCCCUCCCAAUUCAGAAAAUGUUAACAUAAGCACUUCAUUUCUCAUGCAGAUAACCACAUUAGUCUAUUAAUAAAAAAGAAAGAGAAAGAAAGAAAAAAAAAAAGAAAAAGGAAUCCAUGCCAGCAGGGUAUAGGAAUUGGUCUAUAGGAGAAAGGGUCACCCACUGAAAGGUGGGCUGAAUAGAAUUCCUUGCCUGGGCUUUGAGGUCCUGGCAUGGAGAAGGCUGUAGAAAUGCUGGGAUCAGUGGAACCCUCAAUAAACAGAGUUCUUGUUAAAGAA